rnacentral:piRNA from 1 species
UGAGAACACAGAUUGCUGCACUUCUGC